GACGGUUUCGGCUGUCACUUACAGAUGGACCCGCGGCGCAUUAGCUAGUUGGUGGGGUAAUGGCUCACCAAGGCGACGAUGCGUAGCCGACCUGAGAGGGUGAUCGGCCACACUGGGACUGAGACACGGCCCAGACUCCUACGGGAGGCAGCAGUAGGGAAUCUUCCGCAAUGGACGAAAGUCUGACGGAGCAACGCCGCGUGAGUGAUGAAGGUUUUCGGAUCGUAAAGCUCUGUUGUUAGGGAAGAACAAGUGCGAGAGUAACUGCUCGCACCUUGACGGUACCUAACCAGAAAGCCACGGCUAACUACGUGCCAGCAGCCGCGGUAAUACGUAGGUGGCAAGCGUUGUCCGGAAUUAUUGGGCGUAAAGGGCUCGCAGGCGGUUUCUUAAGUCUGAUGUGAAAGCCCCCGGCUCAACCGGGGAGGGUCAUUGGAAACUGGGAAACUUGAGUGCAGAAGAGGAGAGUGGAAUUCCACGUGUAGCGGUGAAAUGCGUAGAGAUGUGGAGGAACACCAGUGGCGAAGGCGACUCUCUGGUCUGUAACUGACGCUGAGGAGCGAAAAGCGUGGGGAGCGAACAGGAUUAGAUACCCUGGUAGUCCACGCCGUAAACGAUGAGUGCUAAGUGUUAUGGGGGUUUCCGCCCCCUUAGUGCUGGCAGCUAACGCAUUAAGCACUCCGCCUGGGGUAGGUUACUGGUCGCAAGACUUGUAAAACCUUCCAAAAGGGCAAAAA
rnacentral:rRNA from 1 species